rnacentral:rRNA from 1 species
UAAUACGUAGGUGGCAAGCGUUGUCCGGAUUUAUUGGGCGUAAAGCGCGCACAGGCGGUCCUUUAAGUCUGAUGUGAAAUCUUGCGGCUCAACCGCAAGCGGUCAUUGGAAACUGGGGGACUUGAGUGCAGAAGAGGAAAGCGGAAUUCCACGUGUAGCGGUGAAAUGCGUAGAGAUGUGGAGGAACACCAGUGGCGAAGGCGGCUUUCUGGUCUGUAACUGACGCUGAGGCGCGAAAGCGUGGGGAGCAAACAGGAUUAGAUACCCUGGUAGUCCACGCCGUAAACGAUGAGUGCUAAGUGUUGGAGGGUUUCCGCCCUUCAGUGCUGCAGCUAACGCAUUAAGCACUCCGCCUGGGGAGUACGGUCGCAAGACUGAA